rnacentral:rRNA from 1 species
UAGGGAAUAUUAGACAAUGGGCGCAAGCCUGAUCCAGCCAUGCCGCGUGAGUGACGAAGGCCUUUGGGUCGUAAAGCUCUUUUCUGAGGGAAGAACCGCCGGGAUAGGAAAUGAUCCCGGUCUGACGGUACCUCAGGAAUAAGCACCGGCUAACUACGUGCCAGCAGCCGCGGUAAUACGUAGGGUGCAAGCGUUAUCCGGAAUUAUUGGGCGUAAAGGGCUCGUAGGCGGUUCGUCGCGUCCGGUGUGAAAGUCCAUCGCUUAACGGUGGAUCCGCGCCGGGUACGGGCGGGCUUGAGUGCGGUAGGGGAGACUGGAAUUCCGCGUGUAGCAGUGAAAUGCGUAGAUAUUAGGAGGAACACCAGUGGCGAAGGCGACUUUCUGGACUGUAACUGACACUGAGGCACGAAAGCGUGGGGAGCAAACA